rnacentral:rRNA from 1 species
AGUGAACGCUGGCGGUAGGCCUAACACAUGCAAGUCGAACGAGUGGCGGACGGGUGAGGAAUACAUCGGAAUCUACUCUGUCGUGGGGGAUAACGUGGGGAAACUUACGCUAAUACCGCAUACGAAUGAAUGCGACGAUGACGGAUUAGCUAGUUGGGGGGGGAAAGGCCCACCAGGGCGAAGAUCCGGAGCUGGUCUGAGAGGAUAAUAAGCCACACUGGAACUGAGACACGGUCCAGAAUCCUACGGGAGGGAGCAGUGGGGAAUUUUGGACAAGGGGCGCAAGCCUGAUCCAGCCAUACCGCGUGGGUGAAGAAGGCCUUCGGGUUGUAAAGCCCUUUUGUUGGUAAAGCGGUACCCAAAGAAUAAGCACCGGCUAACUUCGUGCCAGCAGCCGCGGUAAUUC